rnacentral:rRNA from 1 species
GAUGAACGCUGGCGGCGUGCCUAAUACAUGCAAGUCGAGCGAACAGAUGAGGAUCUUGCUCCUCUGACGUUAGCGGCGGACGGGUGAGUAACACGUGGAUAACCUACCUAUAAGACUGGGAUAACUUCGGGAAACCGGAUCUAAUACCGGAUAAUAUAUUGAACCGCAUGGUUCAAUAGUGAAAGACGGUUUUGCUGUCACUUAUAGAUGGAUCCGCGCCGCAUUAGCUAGUUGGUAAGGUAACGGCUUACCAAGGCAACGAUGCGUAGCCGACCUGAGAGGGUGAUCGGCCACACUGGAACUGAGACACGGUCCAGACUCCUACGGGAGGCAGCAGUAGGGAAUCUUCCGCAAUGGGCGAAAGCCUGACGGAGCAACGCCGCGUGAGUGAUGAAGGUCUUCGGAUCGUAAAACUCUGUUAGUAGGGAAGAACAAAUGUGUAAGUAACUAUGCACGUCUUGACGGUACCUAAUCAGAAAGCCACGGCUAACUACGUG